rnacentral:rRNA from 1 species
GACAGAGGGUGCAGACGUUGUUCGGAAUUACUGGGCGUAAAGCGUGUGUAGGCGGCCAUGUAAGUCGGAUGUGAAAGCCCCGGGCUUAACCCGGGAAGUGCAUUCGAUACUGCGUGGCUUGAGUAUCGGAGAGGUUGGUGGAAUUCUCGGUGUAGAGGUGAAAUUCGUAGAUAUCGAGAGGAACACCGGUGGCGAAGGCGGCCAACUGGACGAAUACUGACGCUGAGACACGAAAGCGUGGGGAGCAAACAGG